rnacentral:rRNA from 1 species
AUGGCCGCCUCCCUCGAAGACCUCCGCAACGAGAGCAUCGAUCUCGAGGCGAUCCCGAUCGCGGAGGUGUUCCAGGUGCUCAAGUGCAAGCCGCACGGGCUCACCUCCGAUGAGGCCGCCAGCCGCCUCCAGGCCUUCGGCCCCAACAAACUCGAGGAGAAGAAGGAGAGCAAGUUCCUCAAGUUUUUAGGGUUCAUGUGGAACCCUCUGUCGUGGGUCAUGGAGGCGGCGGCGAUCAUGGCCAUCGCCCUCGCCAACGGCGGCGGCAAGCCCCCCGACUGGCAGGACUUCGUGGGCAUCGUCACCCUGCUCAUCAUCAACUCCACCAUCAGCUUCAUCGAGGAGAACAACGCCGGCAACGCCGCGGCGGCGCUGAUGGCCAGCCUGGCGCCGCAGACCAAGGUGCUCCGGGACGGCAAGUGGGCGGAGCAGGACGCGGCGAUACUGGUGCCGGGCGACAUCAUCAGCAUCAAGCUGGGCGACAUCAUCCCGGCGGACGCGCGGCUGAUGGAGGGCGACCCGCUCAAGAUCGACCAGUCGGCGCUCACCGGCGAGUCCCUCCCCGUCAACAAGCUCCCCGGCGACAGCGUGUACUCCGGCUCCACGUGCAAGCAGGGCGAGAUCGAGGCCGUCGUCAUCGCCACCGGCGUCCACACCUUCUUCGGCAAGGCCGCGCAUCUCGUCGACAGCACCAACAACGUCGGCCACUUCCAAAAGGUUCUUACUGCGAUCGGCAACUUCUGCAUCGUGUCCAUCGCCAUCGGCAUGCUGGUGGAGAUCGUCGUCAUGUACCCGAUCCAGCACCGCCGGUACCGCGACGGCAUCGACAACCUGCUCGUGCUCCUCAUCGGCGGCAUCCCCAUCGCCAUGCCCACCGUGCUCUCCGUCACCAUGGCCAUCGGCUCCCACAAGCUCUCGCAGCAGGGCGCCAUCACCAAGCGGAUGACGGCCAUCGAGGAGAUGGCCGGCAUGGACGUGCUCUGCAGCGACAAGACGGGCACCCUCACGCUCAACAAGCUCACCGUCGACAAGAACAUGAUCGAGUCCUUCGUCAAGGACGUCGACAAGGACGCCGUCGUGCUCUAUGCCGCCAGGGCGUCACGGACUGAGAAUCAGGACGCCAUCGACGCCUCCAUUGUCGGCAUGCUCGCCGACCCCAAGGAGGCCCGCGCCGGCAUCCAGGAGGUGCACUUCAUGCCGUUCAACCCCGUCGACAAGCGUACAGCCAUCACCUACGUCGACUCCGACGGGACAUGGCACCGGGUCAGCAAGGGCGCUCCGGAGCAGAUCAUCGACCUGUGCGGGCUGCGCGAGGACGUGCGGCGGCGGGUGCACGGCAUCAUCGGCAAGUUCGCCGACCGCGGGCUGCGGUCGCUAGCGGUGGCGCGGCAGAGCGUGCCAGAGCGGAGCAAAGAGGCCAAGGGCGCACCGUGGCAGUUCCUGGCCGUGCUGCCGCUGUUUGACCCGCCGCGGCACGACAGCGCAGAGACCAUCCGUCGCGCGCUCCAGCUGGGCGUCAACGUGAAGAUGAUCACCGGCGACCAGCUGGCCAUCGGCAAGGAGACGGGCCGUCGGCUCGGCAUGGGCACCAACAUGUACCCGUCGAGCUCCCUCCUCAAGGACGGCGACAGCUGCGGGCUCCCCGUGGACGAGCUGAUCGAGAAGGCGGACGGCUUCGCCGGCGUGUUCCCGGAGCACAAGUACGAGAUCGUGCGGCGGCUGCAGGAGAUGAAGCACAUCUGCGGGAUGACGGGCGACGGCGUGAACGACGCGCCGGCGCUGAAGAAGGCGGACAUCGGCAUCGCCGUGGCCGACGCGACGGACGCGGCCCGGAGCGCGUCGGACAUCGUGCUGACGGAGCCCGGGCUGAGCGUGAUCAUCAGCGCCGUGCUGACGAGCCGCGCCAUCUUCCAGCGGAUGAAGAACUACACCAUCUACGCCGUGUCCAUCACCAUCCGGGUGGUCCUCGGCUUCCUCCUCCUGGCGCUCAUCUGGAAGUUCGACUUCGCGCCCUUCAUGGUGCUCAUCAUCGCCAUCCUCAACGACGGCACCAUCAUGACCAUCUCCAAGGACAGGGUCGUGCCGUCGCCCACCCCCGACUCGUGGCGCCUCAAGGAGAUCUUCGCCACCGGCGUCGUCCUCGGCGCCUACCAGGCCAUCGCCACCGUCGUCUUCUUCUGGGCCGUGCACUCCACAGACUUCUUCACGAGUAAGCUCCACGUGCACCCGAUCGGCCGCAACACGGAGGAGCUGAUGGCGGCGGUGUACCUGCAGGUGAGCAUCAUCAGCCAGGCGCUCAUCUUCGUGACGCGGUCGCGGGGGUGGUCGUUCCGGGAGCGGCCGGGGGCGCUGCUCUUCGGCGCUUUCCUGGCGGCGCAGAUGGUGGCGACGCUGAUCGCCGUGUACGCCGACUGGCCGUUCGCCAAGAUGAAGGGGAUCGGGUGGGGGUGGGCGGGCGCCAUCUGGCUCUUCACCAUCGUCACCUACUUCCCGCUGGACGUGCUCAAGUUCGCCAUCCGCUACUUCCUCUCCGGCAGGGGGUGGAGCAACGUGUUCGACGGCAAGACGGCGUUCGCGCAGGGGGUCGACUACGGCACCGACAAGCGCAAGGCGGAGUGGGCCGUCGCGCAGAGGUCGCUACACGGCCUGCACGCCUCCAGCGGCGGCGAGGCCUCCUCCUCCGGCGUCUUGGAAGACAAGAGCGACAUCUCGGAGAUCGCCGAGCAGGCCAGGCGGCGCGCCGAGAUCGCCAGGCUGCGGGAGCUGCACACGCUCAAGGGCCACGUCGACUCGGUGGUCAAGCUCAAGGGGCUCGACAUCGACAACAUCAACCACAACUACACCGUCUGA